rnacentral:rRNA from 1 species
UACGUAGGGUGCGAGCGUUGCCCGGAUUUAUUGGGCGUAAAGGGCGCGUAGGCGGCUCGGCACGUCCGUUGUGAAAUCGCCCGGCUCAACUGGGCGGGGUCAGCGGAUACGGUCGAGCUUGAGCAAGCUAGGGGGUAAUGGAAUUCCCGGUGUAGUGGUGAAAUACGUAGAGAUUGGGAAGAACACCAGUGGCGAAGGCGGCUAUCUGGACGGUUUCUGACACUAAGACUCGAAAGCGUGGGGAGCAAACAGG